rnacentral:rRNA from 1 species
UACGUAGGGGGCAAGCGUUAUCCGGAUUUACUGGGUGUAAAGGGAGCGUAGACGGUUAUGUAAGUCUGGAGUGAAAGCCCGGGGCCCAACCCCGGGACUGCUUUGGAAACUGUGUAACUGGAGUACAGGAGGGGCAGGCGGAAUUCCUGGUGUAGCGGUGAAAUGCGUAGAUAUACGGAGGAAAACCAGUGGCGAAGGCGGCCUGCUGGACAUUAACUGACGCUGAGGCGCGAAAGCGUGGGGAGCAAACAGG